GCUCCUGCUCCCCUCCUCCCACCUCCUCUUCCUCUCCGCGCACCCGGCCCCCUCCUCCCCCGCGGUCCACCUCCGCGCCUACUCCCUCGCCUCUGCUCGCUUCGCCCCCGCCCCGCUCUCCUUCAAGCGCCACGUCUCGCCCACCGCCCUGCCCCUCCACGGCCUUCCGUUCGGCCUCGGCGUCCGCCUCGCGGGCGGGGUCAACGCCGUGGCGCUUCUCUCCCUGGCCGCCGGCCAGAUCUGGGUGCUUGCACCGAGGAUGGCCGCGGACGGGCGGACGCUUGAGCUGCACAAGUGUGCGGUCAUCCAGCUCGAGCCAACGCGGCCGGUGUAUGCCAUGGAGGUCGCCAUGGGGAGGCUGCUGCUCGGAGAGGCUGGCGGCGUGCGCGUGUUCCCACUGAGGAGUUUGAUGAAGGGUGGGAGGGAGAAGGAGGGGAGAAGGGAGGGUGCCGCGGCAUCAGCAAAGAAGAGCUUGCACAAGAAGAACGGGAUUCUGAAUGGACUGAUUGUGCCGGUUGGGCGUGGUAGUGGCGCCCGAGGUGGUCAAGGAGAUGCUGCUUCCGACUGUAAGCUUACAACCUUGCGGGUAAAACAGAGUUCAGGGAGCUAUUCCUCUUUCUUUUUGGCAUUUAAUCAAGAGGAUCAUAACUCUCAAGGUGGUGUAAAAUUGAUAAAAUCAGUUAAAGCUGUCUCAAUCCAACCUUCUUCCAAGGACAAGUUUCUGGUACUUGAUUCAGCUGGAGUGAUACAUGCCUUCAGUCUUCGAAAUGCUGAGUUGGAACCGGAAGCUGCCAAAACAUGUUUUUUGGAUUGUGCCAUGAAAGUCCAAUUGUUUGCUGUUUCCCCAAGUAGCUCUACGAAGACACAGAUUCUUUGGGUUUCAGAUGGUGGACAUUCCAUACAAAUAUUGUCAGCAUUGCCGGCAUUUGAUGUCAAGUCUCCUAAAAGUGACGAUGAUGAUAGUGAUGGGGAAAGAGAGUUAGCAAGCAUUAAGCUCUCAGCUACUGAAGCCAUCUUCACUAGUGAAAAGGUUCAAGACAUUGUACCUAUCUCCAAGGAUUCCGUGCUUAUCCUUGGCCAAGGCAACAUGUUUUUAUAUGGAACUGCUUGAAUUUGGCUUGUUAUCAUAUUCGUGGUGGAGACACAGCUGUUGUUUAGAUCAUGAAUGUGCAGUUUUGGAUGGGUUUUUGACCAAUGACAGGUGUUUGCUGAUCUUGAAGACGUACUUGUUCACCUGUUUUUGGAAGUCAUGAGCACCAUUAGUAUUUUAAUUUCAGUAAGCAGAGUAAAACUCAUGACUUGGAUGACAGCCAGCAAGAGUUGAAAGGUGCAGGCCAUUCUAUGCUGUCUCGACUGUCUGAAAGCAACAUUGCAAAACUCCGAGCCAUCUUUCAGCACAGCUCGCCGAUACUUCUGAGCAGGUGAUGCCACAUUAUGCAAUGCAUGGAUUACAUCAACUUGGCUGUUGUCUAUUCACAUUUCUGCACGCCGGGACAGGGGGAUUUCUGGUUGCUAUGGCUGCAAGAAGGGGUGGCUGCAGGCUGCAGCCCUGUGCCCAGGCUCUGCUGUGGUGGAUCACCGCCAAGUGUGGUUGGUUAUGAGACUGCUCCCUGGCGGUGGACUAUGAAGUUGAUCCUACUGCAGCAGGGAGACUGGGCUGUGGAGCUGAGUGUGGUGUGUGCUUUCUUGUAGUAGUUGCCAGGCUCUGGGUGCCUCAGAAACCAAUAAUGUAGCACUAUUUCUGUAAGGUCAGG
rnacentral:rRNA from 1 species